UUGAUUACUUACUAGCAGAAAUAAUGAGGCCUUAUCUUGUUCAUAGUGUAAAUGACUAUAGACAAUUGCAUUUUUAUUUUACCAGUAAAUUUUCUACGAAAUAGUUGUCUUUGUACUAUUUACGGUUUAUUUUCCUCAUACGGAUGCUGUAAAUAUUAGUUGCCAGAUGUUUAUAGAAGGGGUAUUUAUAACUUCUAGGAAUUGCGUGGUUUGUUUUAUCUGUACAAGAACAAUUAUUUGAUUUGCAAAUUACGGCAAUAACUGCAUCGAGUGAAGGAAUGUUCCGAUAAGGACUGCAUAGAUUCUGCUAUUGAAGGUUUGAAUGCAACAUGAGAACAUCCGCUUUCUUGUUUCUUCUUUGCUCUGUUGAGGAGUGACAGCGCAUGGGGUACAUCAGAAACAAGUAAUGUAACAGUAUUGAGAUUCUCAGCAAUACGCCACCGACAUUGACAUCAUUGUUCCAAGUUACAUACGCAAUACAAUACACUAAUGUAAAACAUACUGAAAUACAUUAUACAUUAUUUAUUACUUUA